ACUAGAGUGAGAUAGAGGCAAGCGGAAUUCCAUGUGUAGCGGUAAAAUGCGUAAAUAUAUGGAGGAACACCAGAGGCGUAGGCGGCUUGCUGGGUCUUUACUGACGCUGAGGCACGAAAGCGUGGGGAGCAAACAGGAUUAGAUACCCUGGUAGUCCACGCCGUAAACGAUGAGUACUAAGUGUCGGGUAAAACUGGUACUGAAGUUAACACAUUAAGUACUCCGCCUGAGUAGUACGUACGCAAGUAUGAAACUUAAAGGAAUUGACGGGACUCCGCACAAGCGGUGGAUCAUGUUGUUUAAUUCGAAGAUACACGAAAAACCUUACCAGGUCUUGACAUUUUCUUGCGAAGUUAUAGAAAUAUAAUGGAGGUUAUCAGGAAAACAGGUGGUGCAUGGUUGUCGUCAGCUCGUGUCGUGAGAUGUUAGGUUAAGUCCUAAAACGAGCGCAACCCUUGUCGUUAAUUGCCAGCAUGUAAUGAUGGGGACUUUAACGAGACUGCCAAUGAAAAAUUGGAGGAAGGUGGGGAUUACGUCAAAUCAUCAUGCCCCUUAUGAUCUGGGCUACAAACGUGAUACAAUGGUUGAUACAAAGAGUAGCUGAAACGCGAGUUCUUAACCAAUCUCAAAAAAUCAAUCUCAGUUCGGAUUGAAGUCUGCAACUCGACUUCAUGAAGUUGGAAUCGCUAGUAAUCGCGAAUCAGC
rnacentral:rRNA from 1 species